rnacentral:rRNA from 1 species
ACGACUCUCGGCAACGGAUAUCUCGGCUCUCGCAUCGAUGAAGAACGUAGCAAAAUGCGAUACUUGGUGUGAAUUGCAGAAUCCCGUGAAUCAUCGAGUUUUUGAACGCAAGUUGCGCCUGAAGCCAUUAGGUCGAAGGCACGUCUGCCUGGGCGUCUCGC